rnacentral:rRNA from 1 species
UACGAAGGGGGCUAGCGUUGCUCGGAAUCACUGGGCGUAAAGGGUGCGUAGGCGGGUCUUUAAGUCAGGGGUGAAAUCCUGGAGCUCAACUCCAGAACUGCCUUUGAUACUGAAGAUCUUGAGUUCGGGAGAGGUGAGUGGAACUGCGAGUGUAGAGGUGAAAAUUCGUAGAUAUUCGCAAGAACACCAGUGGCGAAGGCGGCUCACUGGCCCGAUACUGACGCUGAGGCACGGAAAGCGUGGGGAGCAAACAGGG